AAUAUAUUAUUAGUUUAGUAGUAUAAUUUUCUGUCUUAUUUUAAAACACCCUGGGACUCAUUUCUUAUCUUGUCAACUUAUAUCACUAAACUAAUGUAAUACUUAAAAAUACGCGUAAACUAAAGAACUUG
rnacentral:lncRNA from 1 species